rnacentral:rRNA from 1 species
AGCGAGACCUUCGGGUCUAGCGGCGGACGGGUUAGUAACGCGUGGGAACGUGCCCUUUACUACGGAAUAGUCCCGGGAAACUGGGUUUAAUACCGUAUACGCCCUUCGGGGGAAAGAUUUAUCGGUAAAGGAUCGGCCCGCGUUGGAUUAGGUAGUUGGUGGGGUAAUGGCCUACCAAGCCGACGAUCCAUAGCUGGUUUGAGAGGAUGAUCAGCAACACUGGGACUGAGACACGGCCCAGACUCCUACGGGAGGCAGCAGUGGGGAAUCUUAGACAAUGGGGGCAACCCUGAUCCAGCCAUGCCGCGUGAGUGAAGAAGGCCUUAGGGUCGUAAAGCUCUUUCGCCAGGGAUGAUAAUGACAGUACCUGGUAAAGAAACCCCGGCUAACUCCGUGCCAGCAGCCGCGGUAAUACGGAGGGGGUUAGCGUUGUUCGGAAUUACUGGGCGUAAAGCGCACGUAGGCGGACUUGAAAGUUGGGGGUGAAAUCCCGGGGCUCAACCUCGGAACUGCCUUCAAAACUCCAAGUCUAGAGUUCGAGAGAGGUGAGUGGAAUUCCGAGUGUAGAGGUGAAAUUCGUAGAUAUUCGGAGGAACACCAGUGGCGAAGGCGGCUCACUGGCUC